rnacentral:misc_RNA from 1 species
UUUGCUGGCUUGUCAUUUGAUUGUCUCGCCCACAAGUGCAGGGACCUUAUCUGAGGGGUUUGCUGGGCAAAUUUCACGGCAGCAAACGCUGAUAGGUGUGUGCUCGGUUGAUCAGUCGUGUCUGACUCUUUGGGGCCCCAUGGACUGUAGCCCCUCAGACUCCUCUGUCCAUGGAAUUUUCCAGGCAAGAAUACUGGACUGGGUUGCCACUUGCUCCUC